AUGGACACAAACCCCUUGGUGACAUGCUGGAACAUUCGAGGCUUGAACAAUCCGGCCAAAAGAAGAGCGGUGAAGGAGUUUUUAGACUCGGUUAAGCCUAGCAUAGUGUGUUUACAAGAGACUAAACUUGCAGUUGUAGAUGUUUUUCUGUUAUUACAAUGUUGUAGAACGUCUUUGGACGGCUUUGCCUACUUGCCGAUGGAGGAGAUGAGAGGUGGCAUUAUCUUAGCUUGGGACACCACGGUUUUGCAUAUCGACCAUAUCCAGAGGGACGCCAACUCCCUCACAGGACUGGCUCGCCCCAAGGUUGGAGAGGAGUGGUGGAUCGCGAUGGUCUAUGGACCACAAGGAGACGAGCUCAAAACUCAGUUCCUCGUAGACUUGGAAGCUAGGAGAACAUUGUGCACGGGGCCUUGGAUGGUCCUUGGCGACUUCAACAUGAUCUUGCGUGCCUCGGAGAAAAGCAACAUGAACCUCAAUCGCACCAUGAUGAACAAAUUUAGAGCCUUCGUUGAUAAUAACGAGUUGAAGGAGCUUUACAUGCACGGACACCAUUUUACUUGGACUAACGAGCGAGAGGCCCCAACAUUUACCAAGAUUGAUCGCAUCUUGGUCUCCAUUGAUUGGGAGCUGGCUAGACAUGACUACCUCCUCCAGGCGCUCUCCACAAACAUCUCAAACCACACACCCUUGCAUCUCUCGGUUGUUGCUCACCAUUAG
rnacentral:rRNA from 1 species